rnacentral:lncRNA from 1 species
CUAUCUGUCAUGCGGCCUCCACCAGGCUGCAGGAUAUGAGGGCCAUUUAAUUAGGCCCUGCACCACUCUCGGGUGUGAAAAGGCUCUCAAACGCUUUGAUUCCCCGCUGCUUCGCAGCAGGAAGUUGUUGGCGAUAAUUGACAUAGGAUUUCCUUGUUAACCAGCAGCAGACACGCCGGAUUAAAGCGAUAGAGAUCUCGAGAAGAAAGUGAAAGAGAUAAGAAGCUCGGAAGACUUCUGCUUAUUUGGCACUUGAGGAUGGCAGGAAACAGCAAUAACCUACUCAAGUGGCGACUCUAGAGUGGAAGGGCGUCCCCUUAUCAGACCCAUUUCAGCUUGGCUGAUCAAAGAUUGACUCCCCGCAAAAUCACAUAGGCCUGGGGUUUGUUAGUUUAUUAAGCGGCAGGUUUUAGGAAUUAUCACAGGUUUAAAGAUGGAUUGCAGUUUAUGUGAAGGGGGAGAGGAUUAUCGGGUUUUCAUCUUAACAAUUAUAAAAUAUCACAGCUGAAAGCUUGCUUGCAAAUGACAUAAUUUUCCACUGCCAUCUAAACAGGUCAUUGUGAGGCUGCCUGUGAGCGCACUCAACGAGGGAGGAAAUACAGGCAAAUUAACUCUGGGGAGGACCGGGGAUGAGGGGCCUCCACGCCUUGUUCCACUUCGGAAGACGGUGCGAUCUCAUUUUGCCCUGUGCGAUUCCUUAGAAGAUACUCAGCUAGAAGAUUCCUCUGUGAGGCUGCUAGUACUUCUCCAGCAGACCAAGCCAGGAGAGCUUUCUCAAAAAUUUUACCAGAUUUUCCAGGGGUUCUCAAAGAUUGUCUGCAAACCAGCGCUGAUAAAUUAUUGCAGCUUCUUGAGUCUAUAGAGAGAGACCUUUAUGCUCUCUCUACUAGGAAGUAAUGCUUUUUUCCCUGAGAUUAUGUUCUUUCUAAAAUUUUUAUGUGCUUUUAAAAUUUCAUGUGUGUAUUAACAUGUCCUUUCUUUAUAGAAUGUUAAAGACAAUAUAUAAAUUUCUGAAAAGAUUUGAAUGAUUUGAUUUGGCAAAAUAAAGAAUUGCCAAUCCUACAUAGAGCUCCAUACACCAAUUUUUAAAAAUAAUUUUAUUGCUUCACAAAAUCUGGGAACCACUGGAUAUAUGAAGUAUCUCUUUUAGCUAAAGCAAAGUCAACUCUCACCCUAGAAAAAAGUUCAUUUUUUGAUCUGUUUUUAUUUUUCUGUGGCAAAAAGUGCUUUUGUGAUGCCUC